GACACACAGACACACAGAUACACAGACACACACACACACACACACACACACACACACACACACACCCUAUCCUUAAUGCCUUGCUCCAUCUCACACUGACUGUUCAGCCAUUCUCUCCUGAACGCCUACCAAGAUCCAGGCAUUCACUCAGUGUGCCCAUAGUCUAGUUGGGUAACUGAAACUCUCAAAGGCAGCCAGGCAUGCUGCAGAAGGAAUCCACAGUGAGCCUGGGGGAAUCAGGAGGGCUUGAAAACUUUGCUAGAGAACUGGCAGAAAGUAGACUAAUAACUCAAGGAAUGUUUAGGAGACAGGCAGCUUGUAUUUUUCCAGGCCUUAAAGAGAGUUAAGUGGGCUGUAAUCCUUGAAACCAGAGUUGAGAAGGGGGUAACUAAACUUCCCUGCCCUUCAAGUCGAACAGACAUUAUAUUCAUCAAGUGCUUAAAUCCACAGCCGCCUUCUCCCAGUAACGGAGCUGAGCUGUGAAAACAGUCACCUGGCCGAGAUACUUUCGCCAGCCGGCUUGUCCCCGAGGUCAUGGAACAGAAACCAGCAACAGCAACACGGCUUCACGUCACUAAUGGAUCUGAAAUGAAUGGAUCCUCUCUCCCUUCCUCUCUUGGACCUCUGACAAUGUCAGCACAUUCUGGGAAAUUCAGCAGGCAGUUUGUUAUCACCUGUGGCUCAUCUCCCAGGCCUAGACUGCUUUCUCCACACCCGCUGCUCCCCUAGACACCUAGAACUACGUACGGCUUGGGCUGCAAAUACAAAGCAUGUUCAUCAUCUCCUCUGGAACGACUCAGACUUCCUCGACAUGUGGCUGGGACACGCCCGGCAUCUCCCUGAAGAUAUCUUCUAUGGACAUAUAACAUUCUGUUUAACCAGCAUAGAGUAACUAUGGAGGGACACAGGGAAGUGACAAUAUCUAGGUGUGGACAUUAUCGAGGUCCAUUCUUUCUUGAUAAAAGGUCAACAAGUGGGUUAAUGAUGUUGGCUCCCAAUAUCAGCAGCUGGCUUUGCCUUUCAGUUGCUUGGCUUGCUAGAAAGCUACAUUGUGGCUAACGAUGUGGAAAUGACCACUCUCACAGUUGACUGCCGCAUUCUGAGGCAACAUGACUUGUUACAUGUUACCUAUGAGACCUGGAGUAAGCAGCACCCUUUCAUCUGCAAGGUAAAGAUCAUAAUAUCCCUGAUCUACAGAUAAGAAAACUGAGACCCAGAGAAAACUGGUCAUUAGAUUUUUGUACCUCAUGCUGAAUCCACAUAGGAUAGCAUGUUAUACACAGGACACCUUACUCAGUCACUACCAUUAUCUGAGCCCCUUUUCACACAUAGGGCAAGUCCAGGCUAUGGCAGCAUAGGAACCUCCAGUGGAAUGAAGCUACCCCACCUCCCCAGCAUUGAACUCUUGACCCCUGCAGGCUCAGUGCUGCACCACUGCCCACUGAGCUAGCCAGCCAGGCAGCCUUGGGGGUUGCAGGGUCGCUAACUACCCAGCUUUCGCUUCUAAAGGACUUCAACCCCUUUGGCUCUCCCUCCUGAAAUCCCUUCAAGAUUUAAGUACACCUUCUAAGUUAAUCUGCUUCAAACAUUUGCUUAAGAAAUCAAAGAAGCAAAAGCGCCCUCGCCUUCACUCAAAGCUGAACAUGGAGAUAUAGGUCUCUUCCCGUGCUGGUUCUGCCUUCUACUCCCCAUGAGUUCUUUUCAAGGAAAAAAAAAAAAAAAAAAAAAAAAAAA